GGGGAAAUAGUUUAAAGGUAAAAUGUCCACCAGUUGAAGAGACUGGGGGUUGAUAUAGGUUCGAAUCCUAUUUUCUCCAC
rnacentral:tRNA from 1 species